GAUGAGCGCUGGCGGCGUGCUUAACACAUGCAAGUCGAACGGAAAGGCCCAAGCUUGCUUGGGUACUCGAGUGGCGAACGGGUGAGUAACACGUGGGUGAUCUGCCCUGCACUUCGGGAUAAGCCUGGGAAACUGGGUCUAAUACCGGAUAGGACCACAUUUUGGAUGGUGUGGUGGAAAGUUUUUCGGUGUGGGAUGAGCUCGCGGCCUAUCAGCUUGUUGGUGGGGUAAUGGCCUACCAAGGCGUCGACGGGUAGCCGGCCUGAGAGGGUGUACGGCCACAUUGGGACUGAGAUACGGCCCAGACUCCUACGGGAGGCAGCAGUGGGGAAUAUUGCACAAUGGGCGCAAGCCUGAUGCAGCGACGCCGCGUGGGGGAUGACGGCCUUCGGGUUGUAAACUCCUUUCGCUAGGGACGAAGCGUUAUGUGACGGUACCUGGAGAAGAAGCACCGGCUAACUACGUG
rnacentral:rRNA from 1 species